GGCGGAUCGAUGAUGUAUUUGAAGAAACUGCGUUAUCUAUCUGCAAUUUCCUGACCGGAAACUGAUGAUAAUAUUAUCUUCCUGAGAUCCGAU